CCAAAUUUGAAGUGCACCAGCGAGGCACCGACCUCUGGCGCGGAGACUGAAUGUGAGCCUCGCUCUGCUGGGCCAGCCUUGAAGACACUGGAUGGCUGUGGGGCCCCCGUGGCCACAGAGCAUCAGCCAGGGGCGCUUUCAGCUGCAGGCUAGAACGGACUCAUCCCUCUGGUCUCAGGUGUGGGGUUGAUGGACGGAGGACGGAGGGUGAUGGAGACAAUGGGCCAGGAGUUCCGAGCCUGGACUACAGGUGCUUCUCUGCCAUUAACUCUGUCCCACUCAACACCACGGCUCUCAGCUUCCCAUUCUGUAUGACACAAUUGCUUCUGUCUCCUCACCUCAUUUCUGAUCAUCCCGUUCACUUGAUCAUUAGUGAAUGCUCCCUGUUGUCCUUCUAACGCCAACAUGAGCCAUAAGGGGAGAGGCAGUGGGCACUCAUGGGACCUUGUAGUCCCCAGGGGCACACCUCAGGCGGCGGUACCCAUCUCCGGAUGAAUACCGAUCAUCUUAGUUUCCUGUCACUGCCAUAACGAGCUUCCACACACACACUUCCUGGUUUAAAACAACAAAUUUAUUCUCUUACUGUUCUGGAAGUCAGAAGUCUGAAAUGAGUCUCACCAGGCUAAAGUUAAGGUGCUGGCAAGGCCAGUUCCUUCUAGAGGAUUCAGGUGAGAAUCUUUUUGCUUGCCUUCUCCAGAUUCGUGAGGUGCCCACAUUCUUGGCUUGUGGCUUCUUCCUUCCUCCACAUUUUCUCUGACCACCUUACCUUUCUUCUAGAAGGAUCCUUAUGGUUACACUGGCUCCAUCCCCCUAAUCUGGGAUAAUUUCUCAUCUCAGGAUCCUUCACGUAAUUACACCUACAUAGUCUCUUUUGACACAUGAAAUUAACGUAUUCAGGGAUUCCAGAGAUUAGGGUAGAGACAUCGUGGGGGCCAUUACUCAGCCUUAGGUACUAAUUAGCCCAGCCUAGGGUGGACUCAGAGGAGAGAUCUCCUCCCAGCUGGUGUGACCUAUUAAACUCAGCUCUAGAUUGAAAAUACAAAAGGUAAAAAAUGAUACCUUAUGUGUCCCUGGCAUAUUUGCCCACUAAGGCAUCAGUGUCCCACUCUAUUCCCACAAAAAAUGAUGCCAGGGAAGCGGCACCACCCCAUUGCACAGAGGACGAGACUGAGGCCCACAGAGGUCAGGGAGUUCACCUGAGUUCCUGUGGUUUCUAAGUGGCAGAGCCAGAAUUUGAAGUCAGGUUCUAUCUGACUCCAAAGCCACUGACAGGAUGGGACUCAGAG
rnacentral:lncRNA from 1 species